rnacentral:lncRNA from 1 species
AAGACAAAGAAUGACCCAAGACAAGACUCUCCAGAUAGGUGCAAAAUGUCUGAAAAGGAAGAAUAAUCUCAUGACCAGUGCUCAUAGUCUAUCACUCCACCACCACUGAUGGUCCCUGUCCUAGAGCACUGAGUUAACCAGACAUAGAGGAAAUGAAGCAGGAACUGAUGAGCCCUUGAAAAGGAAUAACUCUUAUUUG